UGCUGUAUAGUUGAAAUAACAACAUAAAAUUGCAACUUUUAAAGUGUUCUAAACUACAGCAU
rnacentral:tRNA from 1 species